rnacentral:rRNA from 1 species
GCAAUCUGAGGUGGCGACCGGCGCACGGGUGAGUAACACGUAUGCAACCUGCCUGUAAGCGGGGAAUAACCCGUUGAAAGACGGACUAAUACCGCAUAAUACUAAAUUACUGCAUGGUAAUUUAUUUAAACAUUUAUGGCUUACAGAUGGGCAUGCGCAUGAUUAGCUAGUUGGAGAGGUAACGGCUCCCCAAGGCAACGAUCAUUAGGGGUUCUGAGAGGAAGGUCCCCCACACUGGUACUGAGACACGGACCAGACUCCUACGGGAGGCAGCAGUGAGGAAUAUUGGUCAAUGGACGAGAGUCUGAACCAGCCAAGUCGCGUGCAGGAAGAAUGUCCUAAUGGAUUGUAAACUGCUUUUGCAGGGGAAUAAAGUGCAUCACGUGUGAUGUUUUGUAUGUACUCUGCGAAUAAGGAUCGGCUAACUCCGUGCCAGCAGCCGC